CGGCCUAGACAUGGGCUCUGGGCAAGCCGGCUAGGGGUAAACUCCCCAUGAACCGGCAGGGGCGUGGGAGUCUGGCGAGCCGGCAGGGGCGCGGAGCCUGAUGCUCCGGCAGAGGCAUGAAUGCCUGUCGAUCCCGCUGUGGCGAGGAAGCCCGAUGAUCCGGCGGAGACUUAACAGUCUGAUGAGCCGGCUGGGCGAACAGAACCUGAGAAUCCGGCUGAGGCCCGACGUGGGAUGGGCGCCUUCCGAGCCAACUGGGGCAAGGAACCUGUCGAGCCAGCUAGGGUAUGGAAGCCCGAUGAGCUGGCUAGGCACCCCCGGUUCCAUCGGCGGAGACCCAGAACCGACGUCACCACCAAACAGAACGCCAGUACUCCCCGACGCUUCGUGUGAUGGCUUCGGGAUUCUGUAAGGAGUGACGCCGGACAGGAGAAGCAGUGAUUAUGGCUAUGAACGGCGUAGAGAAGGGAACUGUCUACCAGCGUUCUGGUUCAACCCAGCUGUUGAAUCAAGGAGCUGCAGCCAAGGACAGAUUUACCUCAUCAGCACAGGGUUCUGUAGAACAUGUUCAGCUGCUGGCUCCGUUUGUGGCCAUCAAGAACAAGGAAGUAAACCUAAUAGCAGUGGUCUGGCCCAUCCACUCCAGGACUCUUACCUACUUCUGGUGACUGGGGAACUGCACUGAGCCGGUGAUCAGCUUAGACGGGAGAAUCUCAUACACCUUCACCAGCGAGGGAAUGAACACUGUUACGGUCCAAGUGUCUUCAGCCAACACCAUACUGCAAGACACCAAGACGAUAGCAGUCCCAGAUGCUUCAGCGUUCGCCCUCGGGCUGUCCUGUGAUCGGCUCGUGCUGUCCUGUGUCGGGCUGUCCUCGUUAUCACACAGGUGCGAGCGACUCGGGUUAUUCUUCCCCACGCGAGGCAGCUUGAUGAGCUCGAAUGUCACGUCCUGACCCUUGUAAGAUGUCAUUUUCUAUAGUAGAAUAGGUCAGGGCAUGACAGGGGGUGUUUUUGGGUGGUUUUCUAUGUUUUCUAUUUCUAUGUUUAAUUCUGGGUUUCUAUUUCUACGUUG
rnacentral:lncRNA from 1 species